GUCGUGGUUUUUUAAAGCUAUACCGAGUUGUGUGUGCAACCAGUUAUGUGGGGGAAAAAAGAAUGUGAGGAGCAGAGAACCUAUGGAUCAUGAAAAGAAAAACAUCAGGACUCUGGAGAGGUGAUUGAAGGAUUGAAUUCUGGCUUCCAUGCUCCCCCACAACACUGUGGGCAUGACUUUGUCCCACAGGACUUAAUAUCAAUGGUUUUUGCUUGAA